rnacentral:snoRNA from 9 species
CUGGUUGCGAUGAUUAUGACAAAUUCCUCGUUCUGAAUGCUAUAGCCAUGGCAUGACAGACUCCUAUUACACCCAUAGAAUAUGAGCACC